rnacentral:lncRNA from 1 species
CUGCAUAAAUAUCUUCUUUUGAGAAGUGUCUGUUCAUGUCCUUCGCCCACUUUUGUGACUUUAUUUGGAACUCAAGUUUUUGCUGAUGUAGCCAGUUAAGUUAAAACGAUGUCAUACUGGAUUACGGUAAACCCUAAGUCUAAUGACUUGUGUUCUUAUAAGAGAAAACAGAGACACACAGGAGAGCAUGCCAGGUGAGGCAGUGGCCGAUCAGCUGAUGAAACUGAUGCACCUGCCAGCCAAGGCACCCCAAGGAGCUCCAGGGUCACCGGAAGCUGCAAGAAUCCAGGAGGACCCUGCCGUGGAGCCUUCCGAGAGAACACAGCUCUGCUGACACCUUAGUUUCUGACUUUUCCCCUCCAGAACCACGAGAGACUAAAUUUCUGUUCUUUUUAGCCACUCAGCUUGUGAUGAUUUGUUACAGCAUCCCCAGAAAAAUAAUAUAAGAGCCCAAGGAUGGAUGAGGCGGGGGAUGGUACAGAAGGCACACACGCUGUAGAGAGCUGCAGCCCUGGGGGAUUUGGACACCAUUGUGUUAAGCAGGUGCUUACUGAAGUGUUCAGCUCAGACACAGCCCGGCCCUGGCAGCACAGAUGAAUGACCUGGGAGGUGGCUCCCAGCAAGCUCCCAGGCCCAGGACCCCCUUGCUCAGCCCAUGGCCAGAUAGUGGACCUCUCAGUGAUUGGCUGUGCUGCGUGCUGAAUCACCAGCCCCUCUUUCACUUCCCACCGUGAUCUGGGGGCUUCCCGCCCUGAUUUGGGGGCUCCCCACGUAGGCCUUACCUGGUUUGGCUGGGUUUCUGAGGCCUGACUUGUCUUCAGCUCAAAGUGAUGUCUGAUGGUGGAGACCUUGUGCUGCAGCCUGUGGUCCCGGCUGGGCAGGGAGAACUGGCAGGCGUCAGUUUAGGGCCCAAUUUGGCCUAUUCCUUGCUGUAUGGCCUGGGGGCUUCUCUCAGCUGGGGCACUUCUAGAGUAGGGAGAACAACUCCCAGUGUUGAUAGAAGGAAAGCAUGUGCUUACACGUUUACUCUCUCUGGUGCCGGGGAUGUGGUAAGUAAUUGAUCAGCCAAUCAAUAGCAAUCAGUCAAUAAAGGGUCACUUCAGUUAUUCCUGUCUUUAUUUUACUGUUUGAUUGCUAGCCUUGGUUCCCAGAGCAACUGUCUAAUUUUUUUUCCUUUUUUUUGCACAUUGCAUCUUCUAACAUGUCUGCCGGACCUUUAGCCCUGGUUCCAUGAAGAUGGGGAUGAGGAUGGUGACACUGAGAAGUCUCCCUGGCACACAACAGCAUGCUUAGAUGAGCCCAAGCUCAGAGCUUCCAGACCCAGCCUCAGUGUUUUUAACCAUGGACAUCCUCCCAGGCAGACCAGAUGCCCUCUACGCGUAAUAUUCAGCAGGGGCAGGCUGGCAGGCCCGUCGGUGGUGCCCAUGGCAUGGAGGAGCCGCAAUGUGCUUAGACUCUAGGAUGCCAGCAGUGCCAUGGGGUAUGCCAUUGUUCAUUGUCCUGGACUGGCAUCUGUGGAGUCCCUUGGGAUUAAUUUCUUAAGAUGGAAUUAUGUGUACUUAAAUGUUGCUAAUUAUUACCAAACUGUGACCCAAAAAAGUGUCACCAAUCAGCCCUCCCAGAAAUGGCACGGGGAAGUGUCUGCUUUGGUUCAUCAUGUUUCUGAGCUCCCAGCUCUCUGGCCCCCUCUGCAGAGAUCGACCACUAAGGCUGUUUAUUGAGUUUAUUGAGUGUCCUUCUAGACUUUUUAUGUAUGCCACACUCAUAGGCAUGCUUAUUGUGUCUCUCCUAAUUCUCCUCAAUGGUUGUGACAGUUUCUCCAAACUGGGGCCCAGGAUGGGUGGGAUCACCUGUGCGGUGCGGAGCUUGGAGCCAUGGCUGCAGGGAGCUCAGGAAACCAGAGACUGGUCCCCUCUGACCCGCCCGGUGGGACCCCUGCUUUCCUAUGGGGACACAGCAGCAGCAUCAGUGAGCAAACUGAAAAGAAAAGACUUUUCCUUUGUGCAGCCAUUAGCAGAGGAAAACAAAUGCCAAAUGUAGGUGUGUUUUGGCGUUGGUAGGGGGAUAAAAGAAAUGCAUGUAUGCACCGGCUGGUGAAAUGGGAUUUACAAACACAGUCACGACUUAGUGACAGGAAUACAUUAGGAAAAACCCGUCGUUAGGUGAUUUUGUUGUUGUGCAAACAUCGUAGCAUGUACUUACACACACCUAGAUGGUGCAGCCUGCCACACACCUAGGCUCUAUGGGAGAGCCUGUUGCUCCCAGGCUGUAAACUCACGCAGCAGGUGACUGUGCCGAAUGCUGGAAGCAAUUGCAACACAAUGGUGAGUAUUUGUGUAUCGCAACAUAGAAAAGGUGUAGUAAAAAUACUGUACAAAAGACAAAACAUGAUGGCUUCCAGCUUCAUCCAUGUCCCUGCAAAGGACAUGAUCUUGUUCUUUUUUAUGGCUGCAUAGUAUU